CCCGCAGGCGUCCGCCUGCGGGGCCCUGACCCCGGUACCUGACACGGCCGGGGCAG
rfam:Streptomyces rubrolavendulae strain MJM4426, complete genome.